rnacentral:rRNA from 1 species
CCUACGGGAGGCAGCAGUGAGGAAUAUUGGUCAAUGGGCGCGAGCCUGAACCAGCCAAGUCGCGUGAGGGAUGAAGGUUCUAUGGAUCGUAAACCUCUUUUAUAAGGGAAUAAAGUGUGGGACGUGUCCUAUGAUGUGUGUACCUUAUGAAUAAGGAUCGGCUAACUCCGUGCCAGCAGCCGCGGUAAUACGGAGGAUCCGAGCGUUAUCCGGAUUUAUUGGGUUUAAAGGGUGCGUAGGCGGCGUUGUAAGUUAGCGGUGAAAUUUUGGGGCUGAACCAUCGAAUUGCCGUUGAAACUGGGGGUCUUGAGUAUGUUUGAGGUAGGCGGAAUGCGUGGUGUAGCGGUGAAAUGCUUAGAUAUCACGCAGAACCCCGAUUGCGAAGGCAGCCUACCAAGCCAUGACUGACGCUGAUGCACGAAAGCGUGGGGAUCAAACAGGAUUAGAUACCCUGGUAGUC